AGGUUUUAGAUGGAGCAGUCUUGAAUUUGUGGGAAGCAUGUUCGUGCGAUAUCAAAUCAUCACUAGUGUAGAAAAAGGUGAUAGUGUAAACUGGAGGCAUAAGGUUAUCAAACAUAGAGAGUUGGAGAGUUCAGAGAUGAUUUAGGGUUGUAGUAGAUAUGACUUUAUUAUUAUUAUUACCGUUUAUUGGGAGAUAGAGACCGGAGAUUGACCAAGAUCGACGGUCGAGAUGUCAACUCCAAAAUAUGGAAAUCGAGAAGAUAUUAUUCUAGAAGAUUAUUGAUAAAUGUUAAUAUUGAGUUUAGGAAGUUUAACAUUAUCACAAUAUAUAUUAUUUACAUUUAUGUUUAUCCUAAAACUCUAUAUAAGAGAUUGUAAGUUGUAACAUUAUUUUCAUGAGAGUCUAAAUACAAUUCUUCCGUUAAACACUUUUGUGUUCUUUACUCUCAUUAAUUUAUCAUGGUAUCAGAGCAGAGCCUUGAUCCUACUCCUAUGGGUUAGGGUUUUCCGUUUGCUUCAGUUUCUACAUUUUUUUCUUCGUUUUUAAUUUUUUUCUUUCUUUUGUUUUGAUUUUUUCUCUAAUCAUUUAAAAAAAAAAAAUAUAGUUUCAAAUUUGAUCAUCUUUAUUUUUAGUAUAGAGAUUGAUGUGGUUAUAGAGAAAAGAGUGACUAGAGAUGAAAAACAUACAAAGAUGCUAAUGUUUUUAGAAGAACCAAUCGAUAUUCUACAAACACAUUACUAAUAUUUUCAUUAAGUAAUCGAAAAUUCAUUUCUUUAACCUUA
rnacentral:lncRNA from 1 species